GCUGGCAGAAAUGAGGAGACGGGUUCGAAAGUGCUUAGCGCCAGUGCCUGGCAUAUAAUGGACGGUCUGCGUGCCGGAUAAGUGCACAAAGAUAAAAACAGUGCCAGGUCUGAAAGACCAUCUUGGACCCGAACUAAGCACAAUGCGGUUGACCACGGUAACGAGCAAAGGCGGUCUUUGCCCACCAGGGGGCAGCACGCCGCGGCCAGAAGGGAUGAGAAACCAGCGCUUACCUAUCAGAAGCCAGUAGUUCCUCAGGAUGUUCAAAUAUAAUUCAGAGUCAUUCUUUGCCAAAAUGGAAAAGGAGUGCUUGGGAGGAGGCUGCCCCUGUGAGCCCCCGAGAGGAGACUUACCACAACG